rnacentral:rRNA from 1 species
CUAAUACCGCAUGAUAUAUCGGAAUCACACGAUUUUGAUAUCAAAGAUUUUAUCGCUUGAAGAUGGACUCGCGUCCGAUUAGUUAGUUGGUGAGGUAACGGCUCACCAAGACCGCGAUCGGUAGCCGGACUGAGAGGUUGAACGGCCACAUUGGGACUGAGACACGGCCCAGACUCCUACGGGAGGCAGCAGUGGGGGAUAUUGCGCAAUGGGGGCAACCCUGACGCAGCAACGCCGCGUGAAGGAUGAAGGUUUUCGGAUUGUAAACUUCUUUUAUUAAGGACGAAACUUGACGGUACUUAAUGAAUAAGCUCCGGCUAACUACGUGCCAGCAGCCGCGGUAAUACGUAGGGAGCAAGCGUUGUCCGGAUUUACUGGGUGUAAAGGGUGCGUAGGCGGCUUUGCAAGUCAGAUGUGAAAUCUAUGGGCUCAACCCAUAAACUGCAUUUGAAACUGUAGAGCUUGAGUGAAGUAGAGGCAGGCGGAAUUCCCCGUGUAGCGGUGAAAUGCGUAGAGAUGGGGAGGAACACCAGUGGCGAAGGCGGCCUGCUGGGCUUUAACUGACGCUGAGGCACGAAAGCGUGGGUAGCAAACAGGAUUAGAUACCCUGGUAGUCCACGCUGUAAAC